CACGGAAAGGAUUGAUAGAUAGGAAGCUCUUUCUCAAUUCUGUGGGUGAUGGCACAUGGCUGUUCUUUGUUGAUGGAGUGCUUCGUCUGGAUAAAUCCUAAAAUAAAUGAGACUCUGGUAUGUUAAUUACAAAGCCCCCAGAGCAGAGCCUAUUUAAAAUCACAUCUCCUCCAAGAAGUCUUCCUUGAAAAGUCCUUAUUUCCUUAUCUAUUAACACUCUUCAUUCACUCCUCCCUCAGUCCCACAUAUCCAUAAUUAACUUCUUUAUAUUAAUGUUUAUCACCCCUCUAGA
rnacentral:ncRNA from 1 species